rnacentral:rRNA from 1 species
UAGGGAAUCUUGCACAAUGGGCGAAAGCCUGAUGCAGCAACGCCGCGUGAAGGAUGAAGGCCUUCGGGUUGUAAACUUCUGUUCUAAGGGAAGAAACAAAUGACGGUACCUUAGGAGCAAGCCCCGGCUAACUACGUGCCAGCAGCCGCGGUAAUACGUAGGGGGCAAGCGUUAUCCGGAAUUAUUGGGCGUAAAGAGUGCGUAGGUGGUUACCUAAGCGCAAGGUUUAAUUUAGAGACUCAACCUCUACUUGCCUUGCGAACUGGGCUACUUGAGUGCAGGAGGGGAAAGCGGAAUUCCUAGUGUAGCGGUGAAAUGCGUAGAUAUUAGGAGGAACACCAGCGGCGAAGGCGGCUUUCUGGACUGUAACUGACACUGAGGCACGAAAGCGUGGGUAGCAAACAGGAUUAGAUACCCUGGUAGUCCACGCCGUAAACGAUGAGCACUAGGUGUUGGGCCCGUUAGGGCUCAGUGCCGCAGUUAACGCAAAUAAGUGCUCCGCCUGGGGAGUACGCUCGCAAGAGUA